AAAAGGUCUCUAGUGAAUGAGGCAGGGUACUUUGGAACAGAAAAAGCUGAUCUCAGGCUUAAGAGCUCUUGUGUGAUGCCAGGCUUCCUUUUAGUGAAAGUGGAUCUGGGAUGCAGCAUGUGAUUUUAAUGAAAAAUAUGGGACUUCAUUUAUGAUUAAAACAACAACAACAAAAAAAUCACACUUCGUUAAAAGUGAUUUUCUGAGGACAUCAAGCUAAUGAGCUAUGGUAUUUAUUUGUAAGCAAACAAGCCUGUACAGAUUUUCCUGUUAAGUAUCUGCAUGAGCUCAUGUCUGAAAGUGAAAUGGAAACCUACUAACAACACAGAAAGCUCAUUUUUUUUCCGGAUGAGGGAACAUGGUGGGAUUUUUGUCUGAGACAUCAGUCACCCAACAAUUAAUGGUGUCAUUUCAGAGGUUACUGAAUCUGGAUGACAUUUUACUAGACUUCUUUCAUGUUUGAUGCUUACUUGUGAGCGAGGUUCUCUGCAACAGCUUGCUCCAGCAGUGACCUCAAGGAGUGUGCCUUUUGACUUCAAAUCGACAUGUUCUAGAAACUGUCAACCAAAGUGAUCCAGCUGAUCUUAGCAGAUGGGAAAGUGAAUAAAGCAGAAGGAGUCUCAAGCUUAGAACGGCUUCAUUGUUAUUCCUCACAAACAAUGACAGUGCUAGUACAGAGUGUAAGUGAAACUAUAUGCUGGAAACAGCUUCUCCUCAGCACUUUUUUCUUCAACAGAGAAGUUCAACAGUGGCACAGCUCAAGAGCAGAUGCUGCAUUUUGUUCCAUCUGCAGUGACCUGCCUCUUGACAGCAAACCCUCUACUCUGAUCCAGUUAAAUCUAUGCAGAGAAACAACCCUCAAGUAAUAUAGAACUGCCACAACAGAAAUGCUCUAUACCUCGUAACUCCUCGGUUUGGAGUUUAAUUUACAUUAUAGGUGCCUUCGCAUACAGCAGUAUAUAUGGUUCCAUGAUAUAGCCAUUUAGACAAUUUGACCUUAAGACAGUAAUCUUAAUCUUCUUCUGUUUUACCAUACCUCAUCAGUUCAAGCAUGUGGUGUUUGUUUUUACCUCUAUUUUACUUUCAAAUUAUCAUAUUGUCAUCUUUAGUCAGCUGUGUUAAGAAAUACCCAUGAUACUGCCAAAAUAUUUUCCUCUUGUUUUACCAUAAAUAUUACAGUCCAAGUCCUCAGGUCCCAGCACAGAGCCUUGGGAAGCCAGCUAUGUCCUGCAGGUUCUGGGAACUGUAAUAUUCUCUGCAAGUUGUAGAGCAACAGUAAAAUACUGCUAUGCAACUAAAGGCUUUAGAUAAGGCAGGUACAGUAGUUAGCAUAUGCUAAAAUCCCACUGGCAUCUGAGGAAUUUGCACGUGCUUUAUGUUUAGCAUGCAUUCUGUUGAAUCACUGUCCUCUGAGAUG